rfam:Jatropha curcas cultivar GZQX0401 scaffold328_56, whole genome shotgun sequence.
CCUGUGCCUGUGAUGGUGUUAAAUAUACUAUGAGAUUUCAAUAUCAAUGAAAAGAAUUUAAAGCUGAGGCAUUUA